AUUGAACGCUGGCGGCAGGCUUAACACAUGCAAGUCGAGCGGAGCGAGGGUGCUUGCACCUUAGCUUAGCGGCGGACGGGUGAGUAAUGCUUAGGAAUCUGCCUACUAGUGGGGGACAACAUUUCGAAAGGAAUGCUAAUACCGCAUACGCCCUACGGGGGCAAGCAGGGGAUCUUCGGACCUUGCGCUACUAGAGGAGCCUACGUCGGAUUAGCUAGUUGGUGGGGUAAAGGCCUACCAAGGCGACGAUCUGUAGCGGGUCUGAGAGGAUGGUUCGCCACACUGGGACUGAGACACGGCCCAGACUCCUACGGGAGGCAGCAGUGGGGAAUAUUGGACAAUGGGCGGAAGCCUGAUCCAGCCAUGCCGCGUGUGUGAAGAAGGCCUUUUGGUUGUAAAGCACUUUAAGCGAGGAGGAGGCUACUUAGAUUAAUACUCUGGGAUAGUGGACGUUACUCGCAGAAUAAGCACCGGCUAACUCUGUGCCAGCAGCCGCGGUAA
rnacentral:rRNA from 1 species